rnacentral:rRNA from 1 species
UUAAAUUGAAGAGUUUGAUCAUGGCUCAGAUUGAACGCUGGCGGCAGGCCUAACACAUGCAAGUCGAACGGUAACAGGAAGCAGCUUGCUGCUUCGCUGACGAGUGGCGGACGGGUGAGUAAUGUCUGGGAAACUGCCUGAUGGAGGGGGAUAACUACUGGAAACGGUAGCUAAUACCGCAUAACGUCGAAAGACCAAAGAGGGGGACCUUCGGGCCUCUUGCCAUCGGAUGUGCCCAGAUGGGAUUAGCUUGUUGGUGGGGUAAUGGCUCACCAAGGCGACGAUCCCUAGCUGGUCUGAGAGGAUGAC